rnacentral:rRNA from 1 species
AAUAAUGGACAAUGGGGGAAACCCUGAUCCCGCGAUGCCGCGUGUGUGAAGAAAGUCUUCGGUUUGUAAAGCACUUUAAGUGGGGGGGAAUGUCUUUAGGAUAAUACCCUGAAAUUUAGACGAUACCAACCGCAUAAGCACCGCCCAACUCUGUGCAAGCAGCCGCGGUAAUACAGAGGUUGCAAGCGUUAAUCGGAAUUACUGGGGGUAAAGCGUGCGUAGGUUGUUCAGUAAGAUGUGUGUGAAAUCCGCGGGCUUAACCUGGGAACGGCUUUCAUAACUGCUGGGCUAGAGUACUGUAGAGGGUAGUGGAAUUUCCUGUGUAGCGGUGAAAUGCGUAGAUAUAGGAAGGAACACCAGUGGCGAAGGCGACUACCUGGACUGAUACUGACACUGAGGUGCGAAAGCGUGGGGAGCAAACA